rnacentral:rRNA from 1 species
CCUACGAGAGGCAGCAGUGGGGAAUUUUGGACAAUGGGCGAAAGCCUGAUCCAGCAAUGCCGCGUGAGUGAAGAAGGCCUUCGGGUUGUAAAGCUCUUUUGUCAGGGAAGAAACGGUGUUUUCUAAUACAGAAUGCUAAUGACGGUACCUGAAGAAUAAGCACCGGCUAACUACGUGCCAGCAGCCGCGGUAAUACGUAGGGUGCAAGCGUUAAUCGGAAUUACUGGGCGUAAAGCGUGCGCAGGCGGUUUUGUAAGUUUGUCGUGAAAGCCCCGGGCUCAACCUGGGAAUGGCGAUGAAGACUGCAAGGCUUGAAUCUGGCAGAGGGGGGUAGAAUUCCACGUGUAGCAGUGAAAUGCGUAGAGAUGUGGAGGAACACCGAUGGCGAAGGCAGCCCCCUGGGUCAAGAUUGACGCUCAUGCACGAAAGCGUGGGGAGCAAACAGGAUUAGAUACCCUGGUAGUCCACGCCCUAAACGAUGUCUACUAGUUGUCGGGUUUUAAUUAACUUGGUAACGCAGCUAACGCGUGAAGUGACCGCCUGGGGGAGGUACGGUCGUCGAGAGUUAAACGUUAACGUAAGAAGUUAGUACGGCGNGAGAGNGCGACGGACGACGACGAGGGAGGAGG